rnacentral:lncRNA from 1 species
UUUUUUUGUUUUUUAUUUCUGUUUUUUUAUUAAAGCAUAAUUGAUUUACAAUGUUGUGCCAAUUUCUGCUGUACAGCAAAAUGACUCAGUCAUACACACACACACACACACACACAUUAUCUUUUUCUAUAUUGUUUUCCAUCACGGUCCUAUCCCAGGAGAUUGGAUAUAGUUUCCUGUGCUAUACAGCAGGACCCUGUUUAUCCAUUCUAAACGUAAUAGUUUUUGUAUCAACUAACCCCAAACUCCCAGUCUAUCCCAUUCCCUCCCCCUUUCCCCUUGGCAACCACAAUUCUGUUCUCUAUGUCUGUGAGUUUGUUUCUGUUUUGCAGAUAGGUUCAUUUGUGCCAUAUUUUAGAUUCCACAUAUAAGUGAUAUAAUGUAUUUGUCUUCCUCUUCCUAACUACCUCUCUCAGUAUGAGCAUCUCUAGUUGCUUCCACAUUGCUGUAAAUGGCAUUACUUCACUUUUUAUGGCUAAGUAGUAUUCCAUUGCAUAUGAAUACAAUAUCUUUUUAAUUGUGACACAGGCUUGAUCCCUGGCCCAGGAAAUUCCUCAUGCUGCAGCUGUGGCAAAGAAAGAGAGAAAGAGAGAAAGAGAGAGAGAGAGAGAGAGAGAGAGAGAGAGAGAAAGAGAGAAAGAGAGAGAGAAAGAAAGAGAGAAAGAGAGAAAGAAAGAGAGAAAGAGAGAAAGAGAGAAAGAAAGAAAGAAAGAAAGAAAGAAAGAAAGAAAGAAAGAAAGAAAGAAAGAAAGAAAGGAAGGAAGGAAGGAAGGAAGGAAGGAAGGAAGGAAGGAAGGAAGGAAAGAAGGAAGGAAAGAAGGAAGGAAAGAAGGAAAGAAGGAAAGAAGGAAAGAAGGAAAGAAAAAGAAAGAGAGAAAUGAGAGAUAUGGCUGAACUUGUCUCUGGUUCCUAGAGGUACCCUUCAAAUACUUGGAAAUUUCCUGAGUGGUAGAAGUGUCUUUGUUAUUCAUGGUCAAUCCCUUAAACAACACUUGAUAGUUUAUGCUAAGAAGGUGACUCAUGAUGGACCCCUCAAUAGUUUCUAAUAAUGAGAUGACUCAGGCUGGGAGCUAGCCACACCAGAAGAACCACCCAUUUGACUAGUGAGUUUGGGCUUUGAGCCACAUGAAUGCAGUUUGAUCUCCAGAGAAGAGAUAAAGGUUGAGUUCAACCUCAAUCAUGUCUAUGUAAUGAAACUCCAGUAAAUUCUGGACACCGAAGUUCAGGUGAGCUUCCCUGGCUAACAGUACUCUGUGUAAAUUGCUACAUAACAAUGAGCUAAAAAUGCUGAAGUGUCCUGACUCCACUGGGAGAGGAGGAGAGCUUUGCAUCUGGGACCUUCCCAUGACUUCUCCCUAUGUAUCUCUUCUUCAGGGUGUCCUGAUUUGCCUUUUUUUUUGGGGGGGGGGCUAUAGUAAAUUUUUUACCAUAAUUAUAGCACCUUCCUAAGUUUUGUGAGUUGUUCCAGUGAACUAUCAAAAUUGAGGGGAUGGUGGAAAUCUCCAAAUUUGUAGCCAGUUGGUCAGAAGUGCAGGUGUCACGGGAACCCUUGGGCUUUGAUAAGUAAAAAAAAUGAUAAUAAUAAGAGCAAAAACAAACAAAUGGGACAUAAACUUAAAAUCUUUUGCACAGCAAAGGAAACCAUUGUCAAAAUGAAAAGAUAACCUACUAAAUGAGAGAAUAUAUUUGCAAAUGAUAUGACCAUAAGAGAUUAAUAUCCAAAAUACAUAAACAGCUUAUAUAAUUCAAUAUCAAAACAAGACCUGAUUAAAAAAUAGGCAAAAGACUUGAAUAGACAUUUUGGCCGUAAUGGCCAUUUAGGCCAUUACAGAUGACCAACAGGCACAUGAAAAAAUGCUCAACAUCACUAAUUAUCAUAGAAAUGCAAACCAAAACCACAAUGAAAUAUCACCUCACACCUGACUAUCAUCAAAAAGUCUACAAUUAACAAAUGUUGGCAAGGAUGUAGAGCAAAGUGAACACUCAGACACUGUUGGGGGGAAUGUAAAGCAGUGUGCAGCCACUAUGAAAGUUCCUUAAAAAGCUAAAAAUAGAACUAACAUAUGAUCCAGCAAUUUCACUCUUGUAAAACACUAAUUUGCAAAGAUAUAUCUUUUAUAUAUCCCAAUUUAUUAUUUAUAACAGCCAAGACAUGGAAGUAACACAAGUACCCAUCAGUAUAUGACUGUAUUAAUAAGAUGUUAGAGGAGUUCCCACCGUGUCUCAGUGGAAGCGAAUCUGACUAGCACCCAUGAAGACAGCGGUUCAAUCCCUGGACUUGCUCAGUGGGUUAAGUAUUUGGCAGUGCUGUGAGCUGUGUAUAGGUUGAAAAUGGGGCUUGGGUCCCAUGUUGCUGUGGCUGUGCUCUGAUUCGGCUCCUAGCCUAGGAACUUCUAUAUGCCACAGGUGCAUCCCUAAAAAGCAAAAAAACACAACAAAACAAAACAAAAUAAAACAAAAACACUUUCAAAGCAAUCUUUGACAAAUGAAGUGGGUCGCUGAGCUCAGGACCCAGAGGACCCCAACUUAAUCUUGAUUAUGCACCUACCAUGCUUUACAUGAAUUAUCAUAUUCUCAUACCAAUCCCUCAAAGUGGCUGUAUUACUUUUCCUACUUUACAAAUGAAAUGAAGGCUUAGAGAGAUUAAGCAGUUUUCUCAAUUACAUUUGGCAUCACAGCCUAGUGAGUGAUGAAACCAGGACUAAAUGCCAAGUAUGUCUGACUCUUUCAAUCUUUCACUGUUUUCUUGGGGUUAUUUUGCAUAACAUGACCACCUAAAAUGUCAGCAGCAUUUUCUUUUCCUAGAAUAUGAAAUAUAACCCCAUUCCCCAGCCCCAAGUCUCUCUUUUCCCCACAGGAUUUCCUUCCCUCCUCCCAUUUCAUGCUUUCUUCCUUUCCCUCUCCCCUCCCCCUCCCUCUCUUUUUCUUUGUCUUAAAAAAAAAAGUAGUUCCUAUCUGAGUUAUGGGUAAGAAAAAUCAAAAGUACAAUGAGGUACUACCUGACACCAGUUAGAGUGGCCAUCAUUAGCAAGUCAACAACCAACAAAUGCUGGAGAGGAGGUGAAAAUAAGGGAACCCUCCUUCACUGUUGGUAAGAAUAUAAAUUGGUACAACCACUAUGGAAAACAGUAUGGAAAUACCUCAGAAAACUAAAUAUAAAACUACCAUAUGACCCAGUAAUCCCACUCCUGGACAUAUAUCCAGACAAAACUUUCAUUGAAAAAGAUACAUCACCUGUAUGUUCAUCACAGCACUAUUCACAAUAGUCAAGACACAGAAACAACCUAAAUGCCCACUGACAGGUUAAUGGAUUAAGAAGAUGUGGUACAUAUACAAUGGAAUACUACUCAUACACAAAAAGGAAAAAAUAAUGCCAUUUGCAGCAACAUGAACGGAACUAGAGACUCUCAUACUGAGUGAAGUAAGUCAGAAAGACAGACGUGAUAUGAUGUCACUUAUAUGUGGAGUCUAAAAUAUGGCAUAAAUCAUCUACCCACAAAACAGAAACAGAUCACAGACAUGGAGGACAGACUUGUGUUUGCCAGUGGGGAGGUGGGAGAGGGGGGUGAUAACAGGGAAUUUGGGGUUGGCAGAUGUAGACCAUUAUGUUUAGAACAGAUGGGUGAUGAGGUCCUGCUGUACAACACAGGGAACUGUAUCCAGUCUCUUGGGUAAGAACCUGAUAGAAAAUGAAAAAGGGGGGGGGGUGUACGUAUGGGUGGCUAGGUCACUUUGCUGUACAGCAGAAAUUGAAGGAACACUGUAAAUCAACUAUAUUUUAAUAAAAUUUUUAAAAAGAAGUCCUUCCUGGGAGUUCCCGUCGUGGCACAGUGGUU